rnacentral:rRNA from 1 species
UAGAGUUUGAUCCUGGCUCAGGAUGAACGUUGGCGGUGUGCCUAAUACAUGCAAGUCGAACGGAGUUAAUAGCAAUAUUGACUUAGUGGCGAACGGGUGAGUAACGCGUUGGUGAUCUGCCUUGAAGUGUGGAAUAACGUUUCGAAAGAGACGCUAAUACCGCAUGUGCUCUCAAUUUUUAGAAAGUUGAAAGUAAAGGAUUUAUUCGCUUCAAGAGGAGCCUGCGUCCCAUCAGCUGGUUGGUAGGGUAACGGCCUACCAAGGCUAUGACGGGUAGGGGACCUGAGAGGGUGGCCCCCCACAAUGGAACUGAAACACGGUCCAUACACCUACGGGUGGCAGCAGUAGGGAAUAUUAGAAAUGGACGAAAGUCUGAUCUAGCAACACCGCGUGUGCGAAGAAGGCCUUCGGGUCGUAAAGCACUUUUUGGAAGGAAUAGGAAGGAAUGUACUUCCAGAAUAAGUCUCGGCUAACUACGUGCCAGCAGCCGCGGUAACACGUAGGAGGCGAACGUUAUCCGGAUUUACUGGGCGUAAAGCGCGUGUAGGUGGUUCUGUAAGUAGGGCGUGAAAGCUCCUGGCUCAACUGGGAGAGGCCGUUCUAAACUGCAGAGCUAGAGGAUGGUAGAGGGAGGUGGAAUUCCAGGUGUAGCGGUGGAAUGCGCAGAUAUCUGGAGGAACACCAGUGGCGAAGGCGGCCUCCUGGACCAUUCCUGACACUCAGACGCGAAAGCUAGGGUAGCAAACGGGAUUAGAGACCCCGGUAGUCCUAGCCCUAAACGAUGUAGACUAGGCGUCGGUGGUUUAAUCACCAUCGGUGUCCAAGCUAACGCGAUAAGUCUACCGCCUGGGGACUACGGCCGCAAGGUUAAAACUCAAAGGAAUUGACGGGUCCCCGCACAAGCAGCGGAGCGUGUGGUUUAAUUCGUUGCUACACGAAGAACCUUACCUGGGUUUGACAUAGCAGUGGUAGGGAAGCGAAAGCGGACCGACCCUUCGGGGAGCUGUUACAGGUGUUGCAUGGCUGUCGUCAGCUCGUGUCGUGAGAUGUUCGGUUAAGUCCGCUAACGAGCGCAACCCGCGUUGUGUGUUACAAGUGUCACACAAUACCGCCGGUAUUAAGUCGGAGGAAGGUGCGGAUGACGUCAAGUCAGCAUGACCUUUAUAUCCAGGGCUACACACACGCUACAAUGGUCAGCACAAUAGGUUGCUAAGCCGCGAGGUAGAGCCAAUCCCUAAAGCUGGCCUCAGUUCAGAUUGUAGGCUGCAACUCGCCUGCAUGAAGAUGGAGUUGCUAGUAACCGCAGGUCAGCCAUACUGCGGUGAAUACGUUCCCGGGGCUUGUACACACCGCCCGUCACGUCAUGGAAGUUGGCAACACCUGAAGCCGGUAUCCUAACCGCAAGGAGGGAGCCGUCGAAGGUGGGGUCGAUAACUGGGACGAAGUCGUAACAAGGUAGGCA